rnacentral:rRNA from 1 species
UAGGGAAUAUUGGACAAUGGGGGCAACCCUGAUCCAGCCAUGCCGCGUGAGUGAAGAAGGCCCUCGGGUUGUAAAGCUCUUUUGUCCGGAAAGAAAAGCUUCGGGUUAAUACCCCGGGGUUCUGACGGUACCGGAAGAAUAAGCACCGGCUAACUUCGUGCCAGCAGCCGCGGUAAUACGAAGGGUGCAAGCGUUACUCGGAAUUACUGGGCGUAAAGCGUGCGUAGGUGGUUGUUUAAGUCUGAUGUGAAAGCCCUGGGCUCAACCUGGGAAUGGCAUUGGAAACUGGGCAGCUAGAGUGCGGUAGAGGGUAGUGGAAUUCCCGGUGUAGCAGUGAAAUGCGUAGAGAUCGGGAGGAACAUCUGUGGCGAAGGCGACUGCCUGGACCAGCACUGACGCUGAGGCACGAAAGCGUGGGGAGCAAACA